rnacentral:rRNA from 1 species
AUACAGAGGGUGCGAGCGUUAAUCGGAAUUACUGGGCGUAAAGCGCGCGUAGGCGGCUUGGUCAGUCGGAUGUGAAAGCCCUGGGCUCAACCUGGGAAUUGCAUUCGAUACUGCCAAGCUAGAGUAUGGGAGAGGGAACUGGAAUUUCCGGUGUAGCGGUGAAAUGCGUAGAUAUCGGAAAGAACACCAGUGGCGAAGGCGACUUCCUGGCCCAAUACUGACGCUGAGGUGCGAAAGCGUGGGGAGCGAACAGGAUUAGAAACCCUAGUAGUCC